AGUGAACGCUGGCGGUAGGCCUAACACAUGCUAGUCGAACGGCAGCACAGUAAGAGCUUGCUCUUACGGGUGGCGAGUGGCGGACGGGUGAGGAAUACAUCGGAAUCUACUUUUUCGUGGGGGAUAACGUAGGGAAACUUACGCUAAUACCGCAUACGACCUACGGGUGAAAGCAGGGGAUCUUCGGACCUUGCGCGAUUGAAUGAGCCGAUGUCGGAUUAGCUAGUUGGCGGGGUAAAGGCCCACCAAGGCGACGAUCCGUAGCUGGUCUGAGAGGAUGAUCGGCGACACUAGAGCUGGGACACGGUCCAGACUCCUACGGGAGGCAGCAGUGGGGAAUAUUGGACAAUGGGCGCAAGCCUGAUCCAGCCAUACCGCGUGGGUGAAGAAGGCCUUCGGGUUGUAAAGCCCUUUUGUUGGGAAAGAAAAGCAGCAGGUUAAUACCCCGCUGUUCUGACGGUACCCAAAGAAUAAGCACCGGCUAACUUCGUG
rnacentral:rRNA from 1 species